GACGAACGCUGGCGGCGUGCUUAACACAUGCAAGUCGAACGGUAAGGCCCUUCGGGGUACACGAGUGGCGAACGGGUGAGUAACACGUGGGUGAUCUGCCCUGCACUUCGGGAUAAGCCUGGGAAACUGGGUCUAAUACCGGAUAGGACUCCUGGCUUCAUGGUUGGGGGUGGAAAGCUUUUGCGGUGUGGGAUGGGCCCGCGGCCUAUCAGCUUGUUGGUGGGGUAAUGGCCUACCAAGGCGACGACGGGUAGCCGGCCUGAGAGGGUGACCGUUCACACUGGGACUGAGAUACGGCCCAGACUCCUACGGGAGGCAGCAGUGGGGAAUAUUGCACAAUGCGCGGAAGCCUGAUGCAGCGACGCCGCGUGAGGGAUGACGGCCUUCGGGUUGUAAACCUCUGUCCUCAGGGACGAAAUAAAUGACGGUACCUGAGGAGGAAGCCCCGGCUAACUACGUGCCAGCCGCCGCCGUAA
rnacentral:rRNA from 1 species